UGGGGAAUUUUGGACAAUGGGCGAAAGCCUGAUCCAGCCAUGCCGCGUGCGGGAAGAAGGCCUUCGGGUUGUAAACCGCUCUAGUCCGGGAAAAAGGGCUGACGUGCUAAUACCGCGUUGGUUUGAUGGUACUGGAAGAAUAAGCACCGGCUAACUACGUGCCAGCAGCCGCGGUAAUACGUAGGGUGCGAGCGUUAAUCGGAAUUACUGGGCGUAAAGCGUGCGCAGGCGGUCUUGUAAGACAGACGUGAAAGCCCCCGGCUCAACCGUGGAACGGCGAUUGUGACUGGAAGGCUAGAGUGUAGCAGAGAGGAGUGGAAUUCCACGUGUAGCAGUGAAAUGCGUAGAGAUGUGGAGGAACACCGAUGGCGAAGGCAGCCCCCUGGGAUGUCACUGACGCUCAGGCGCGAAAGCGUGGGGAGCAAACA
rnacentral:rRNA from 1 species